CUGUCCCAGUUUCCUACACAAAGAAGUGUUCCUUUAUAUGUUAGCUCAUUCUUUCAUAUCAUAUGCAUUCAGAAUGACCCUGACUAUCACUGUAUUCAUUUUCAAAGCAUUUUAAUGUAUAGUUGUGGAGAAAGCUAAAAGCAAAAUCACCCCAAAUAAAAAAUGCAUCCGAGAAAUUGCAGUGUGUCCCAUUUUUCAACAUUCAUAAAAAAGGUUGCUUUAUAGGUUAGCUCAUUCUUUCAAAUCAUAUGUAUUCAGAGUGAUCCUGACUACCACUGUAUUAAUAUUCAAGGCAUUUUACUGUAUAGUUUUGGAGAAAACUAAAAGCAAAUUCACCCAAAACAUCAAAAUCCAUUGUUGCACUUACACUUUUUCCCAUUUUCAAAAAUUCAUAUAAAGUGUUCCUUUAUAGGUUAGCUCAUUCUUUUAAUGUAUAUGUAUUCAGAGUGACCCAGACUACCACUGUAUUAAUUAUCAAGGGAUUUUACUGUAUAGUUUUGGAGAAAACUAAAAGCAAAUUCCCGCAAAACAUCAAUCUCCAUUGUUGCACUUAAACUUUUUCCCAUUUUCAAAAAUUCAUAUAAAGUGUUCCUUUAUAGGUUAGCUCAUUCUUUUAAUGUAUAUGUAUUCAGAGUGACCCAGACUACCACUGUAUUAAUUAUCAAGGCAUUUUACUGUAUAGUUUUGGAGAAAACUAAAAGCAAAUUCACCCAAAACAUCAAAAUCCAUUGUUGCACUUAGACUUUUUCCCAUUUUCCAAAAUUCAUAAAAGGGGUUCCUUUAUAGGUUAGCUCAUUCUUUCAAGUCAUAUGUAUUCAGAGUGACCCCUACUAUCACUGUAUUAAUAUUCAAGGCAUUUUACUGUAUAGUUUUGGAGAAAACUAAAAGCAAAUUCCCGCAAAACAUCAAUCUCCAUUGUUGCACUUAAACUUAUUCCCAUUUUCAAAAAUUCAUAUAAAGUGUUCCUUUAUAGGUUAGCUCAUUCUUUUAAUGUAUAUUUAUUCAGAGUGACCCAGACUCCCACUGUAUUAAUUAUCAAGGGAUUUUACUGUAAA